GGGGAGGGGGCUGGCGAGACCGGGAGAACUUGGCUGGCUGGCUGACUGAAUGGGGAUGCUUGGUGUGGUGGCUGUUCUUGCCAGGACAAUAGCUGGCUGACAAAAUCAGGCUCAGGCCUUUCUGACUUGAGAGAAGCCUGCGUGGAGCACAGCUUUAUGUCGGUCCAGUGCUGGCCUCAGAUGACUUGGGUGGAUCAGACUUGCUGCCUGCACUUAUGAAGCCCAUGAUCUGCCACCAACCCGUGGGCUUGGAAGCCAUGCACCUGCAGCUGGAUUCCGCUGGGACUUGUGAAAUGUAGGUCCCAAGGCCUACUCCCUGGAAAUAUAAAUCUGGCCAGUUAUUAUUGUAGCUGACAGGAUUCACAGCUGAGUGUGAUCGAGAAUUACUUUUCUACUCUGGUACUACGCAUCAUCAUGAAAGCUAGCCAACAGGGAUGAAGCUUUCAGCUCUUCCCAUAUUGUCCCCACAUCCUUAACCACACAACUUCAUGUGCUCUCUCAAAAAAAACCAAAACAACCCAGGAAAAUCAAAAAACAAAAAAUCAAAACAGACAAAGAAGAAAAUCAACAAGAGAAAAUCCAAACCACAUCAGUACAAAAUCUGAAACAAAAUACGCACAAAAAACCAUGGAGUUCAUUUUGUGUUGGCCAACUAUUCCUGAGCAUGGGGCCUGCCCUGAAGUGUGGUUGACAUUCCCAGUAACACUCCACUGAAGAAAGCUGAUUUUCCCCUUCCCAACAGGUAUUGACUACAAAUAGUUUCUUGGUUAGGGGUGGGAUUUUGUAUCCACUCCCCUUCUCAGUGCUGAAAUUUUGUCUGGUUUGAACUUGUGUAGGUCUUGUGCAUGCUGUCACAGUCUCUGUGAGUUCAUAUGUGGGUCAAUUCUGUUGUGGCUGUUUCUUAGCAGUCAUCUACCAUCCCUAGCUCUUGUAAUCUUUCCUCCUUUUCUUUCCCAUAGAUCACUGAUCCUUAAGAGUUUUAAUAAAGACAUCCCUUUUAGGGCUAAGUGCUCCAAAGCCUCUCUCUGUACAUUGUUCCAUAGUAGAUCUCUUUGUUAAUUACUAUCUAUGGCAAGAAGAAGCUUUUCUAAUGAGGACUGAGUGAUACUGUGCCCUAUGACUAUAGCAACAUGUCAUUAAGAAUCAUUUGAUUGCUAUGUUCAUUUAGCAGAAUGAUAGCAGUAGGUUUCCCUAGGCCCAUGACCUAGCUAGUCUCAGUUUAUUGACCACUUUAACAGUGUCAGAUUUAGGUUCCAUCACAUGGAAUGGGACUUAAAUUCAAUUAAAAAAAAGUGGUUGGUUAUUCCUAUAACUUUUAUGCCACUCUUGCACCAGUGUAUCUUGGAGGCACGUCUCUGUUUUAGGUCACAGGGUUUUUAGCUGGGUGAAAUUGAUGAUUAUUUUUCUCCUCCAGUAGCAUGCAAAGUACCUUGCAGCACUGUGAGUGCCAAUAAGUAGGGGUGAAGCUUCUUGUUAGGCACCAACUUCAUUUCUCCAUGUUAGAUGACAUAAAUAAGUGUUGUCUUCAGCAAUAAGGACUUCCCAUCAGGUUAUGGAGAGUAACCAAUAAUCUUGACAAUAGCCUAUUAUAGUUGGGAGGGUCUAUGAGACUCAUUUGGCCAAUCACUCAACAAGAUGUAACCAAUUCCUGAUACUGGAAGUUUUACUUAGUGGCAUAAGACGUCUAGUUGGGGUAUUCUCUCCAUGGUGACUCCAUUUAAAUUCUUUCCACAUUUGUAUAUAUUUUAGGAAGCUUCUUCAGGAGUAGGCUUCCAUAUGGUUUUUCAAGUAGCCAUUAGUGUUAGUUGUCAAUCCCCAUAUUCCUUCCUUUACCCUGUGCUCCAUUCUCCUCUCCAUUUAAUCCUCCUAUUCUAGUUUCCCUUUGUCUCUGUUAUAACACUAUAUUACUCUAUUUCACUUUUCUUGAAAGACCACCCCUCCCCGUGGUCACUUACUAGGUACCUAACCUCUGUGGUUAUUUGGAUGGAAACACACAUAUAGAAAACCUAAAAGCUAGCAUCAUCUUGCAAGAGAAAAGUUGCAAUAUUGGUUUUGUUUUGUCUUUUUUUCCCCCCAGUCUGGAGUACCUUAGUCAGAAUGAUUUUUUCCUAGCUCCAUCCAUUAACCUUCAAAUUUCAUAAUUUCAUUUUUCUUAACAAAUGAAUAGUAUUCUGUUGCGUAAAUGUACCACACUUUAUUAUCCAUUCAUCAGUUGAUGGGCAUCUAGGUUGUUUCCAAUUUCUGGCUAUUAUGAAUAGUGCAGCAACGAACAUGCAUGAGCAAUUAUCUCUGUAGUAGGAUGUAGAGUCCUUUGGGUAUGUGCCCAAGAGUGUUAGAGCUGAGCUUGUGGUAGAUUGAUUUUCAGCUUUUUGAGAAACCUCCACACUCAUUUCCAUAGUGGCCAUACUAGUUUGCACUCUCACCAAUAAUGGGUAAAUGCUUCCUUUCCCCUGCAUUCAAACUAGCGUGUGCUGCCAUUUGUUUUAUCGAUCUUGGCCAUUCUGACUGGGGUAAGAUAAAAUCUCAAAGCCAUUUUAAUUUGCAUUUCCCUGAUGGCAAAGGAUGUUGAACAUUUCUUUAAGUGUUUCUUAGCCAUUUGAGUCUCAUCUUUGGAGAACUCUGUGUUUAAUUCUACAUCCCAUUUUUAAAUUGGGCUAUUUGUUUUCUUGAUGUUCAGGGCUUUUUUUCCUCCUUUGUUUACUCUAGAUAUUAACCUUAUACCAGAUGUAUAAUUGGUAAAGCUCUUUUCCCAUUCUGUAGGCUGCCACAUUGGUGGAAUGAUAGUGUCCUUUGCUGUAUAGAAUCUUUUUUAGCUUCAUUAGGCUCCAUUUGUUAAUUGUUGGGCUUAAUGCCUGUACUAUCAAUGUCCUGUUCAGAAAUUCCUUUCCUAUGCCAUUGAUUUCAAGCUUAUUCGCUGCUCUCUUUUCUAUUAGUUUUAGAGUAUCUGAUCUUAUGUUGAGGUCCUUGACCCACUUGGAGUUGAGUUUUUUGCAGUGAUAAGUAUGGAUUUAUUUGCAUUUUUCUAUAUGCAGCUGUCCAGUUGGACCAGUGCCAUUUGUUGAAGAUGCUGUCUUUUCCCCAGUGUGUAUUUUUGGCUUCUUUGUAAAAAUCAGGUGUCUAUAGGUGUGUGAAAUUAUGCCUGAGUCUUCAAUUCUGUUCCACUGAUCAAUGUGUCUUUUUUUUAUUAUCACAUUAUAAUGCUGUUUUUAUUACUAUGGUUCUAUAGUUUGAA